CCCAUUGCCUGCUAACAAUUUAGUUCAUCAGUGCUUGUUGCAACCUUUUCCAGUACACACUCACUAAAUGGAAAAGGAUCUACAGGAGGUGGAAAGCUGAGUCGAAUUGGUGAAGUAGAGAAGGGGCUGUUGACGCUAAUUUCCUCAGAUGCUCCUGGACUUCAGGCAAGGCUCUCAUCCAUGCUACAGCUGGUCUGAGGCCUGCGGUUUCACAUCGUUCUAGUGGCGGAAGGACAUCUCUCGUCUUUAGGCUCAUGCCACAAGGCAAUGCAAUACGUGAUUGUUCACCAAUUGCAGCAGCUGGUCAUGUCAUUCCUCAGAGUUAUGUGCCAAUCUCUGUAACCCAGUUUAUUGAUGCUAUAAUAGUACUUGUUAUGUGCCAAUCUUUGUAACCCAGUUUAUGGGUGCUAUAAUAGUACUUGUUAUGUGCCAAUCUCUGUAACCCAGUUAUGUGCCAAUCUCUG